rnacentral:rRNA from 1 species
CCGCCGCGCGCGGCGGGCCUACGGGAGGCAGCAGUGGGGAAUAUUGCACAAUGGGCGCAAGCCUGAUGCAGCCAUGCCGCGUGUAUGAAGAAGGCCUUCGGGUUGUAAAGUACUUUCAGCGGGGAGGAAGGCGUUGUGGUUAAUAACCACAGCGAUUGACGUUACCCGCAGAAGAAGCACCGGCUAACUCCGUGCCAGCAGCCGCGGUAAUA